CAGUGCGCACCAUCAUAGAUUUGGUGGAAGAUGAUCUGGUUCAGAGCGCUAGAGGUGGUGGCACGUGUCCUGAACUGCAAGUUUUAGUGGCCAUAAGAUGUUGGGGACGUCGUGAGGUAAGCACAAAAAAGUGUUUUAUUUUAUCCCUUUGUCGUGGCUGCUAUAAUUAUUUUCAUACAUUUUCAGGUACAAGAUGAUGCUGGUGACCUCCAUGGCCUAAGUCAGCCGACAGUGAGCCGGAUAUGCGCCAGAGUCGCGCAUGCAAUCGCGAAUAAGGCAAAUUCCUUCAUCAAAAUGCCUAUCACUAUAGGAGAGCAGGAAAGAAUUAGUGCCAAAUUUAGAGCAAUUAAAAAUUUUCCUGGGGUGAUAGGAGCCAUAGAUUGCACCCACAUUAAAAUUAAAAAAACCGGAGGUGACAUGGCCCAGUACUAUAUUAAUAGAAAAGGCUAUUAUUCCCUGAAUGUUCAGGUUGUCUGUGAUGCUGACCUCAAAAUAAUGGAUAUAGUGGCUAGAUGGCGAGGCAGUACACAUGACAGUCGAAUUUUUAUGGAGAGCAAUAUAAAACAACGAUUUGAGGAUAGGCAGUUUAGAGGACGCCUUAUUGGCGAUUCGGGCUACCCUCUUCUGCCAUAUCUAUUUACACCUAUUUUAAGGCCUAGUCGUCCAGAAGAAGAAGCAUACAAUAAUGCUCACAUCUCAACUAGGAACACUGUUGAAAGGUGUUUUGGGGUGUGGAAGCAGCGGUUCCAAUGCCUACUCCAUGGCUUACCAGUAAGCCUCCAAAAUGGAAAAGCUGUGAUCAUAGCAUUGGCUGUAUUACAUAAUAUAGCCAUUGAUAUGAAUGACACAUUGUUAGAACAACAUAUGGAGCAGGUCCCUGUAACUCCGCAACUUUCGACGGAGAACAGUGUUCACGACAACCGACCUUCAUUGUUGAGGCGUAGGUCGCAGUUGAUACUACAAAAUUUUAUAAAUCAACAUUUUUGAAUGGUACUAAAAUACAUUUUGAUAAAUUCCAACGAUUUACUUUUAUGUAAUGUCAUUUGAGUUCAUGAAAAUGUUGUAUUUUAAUUUUUCAGAUACUGUU